rnacentral:rRNA from 1 species
AGAUUGAACGCUGGCGGCAUGCUUUACACAUGCAAGUCGAACGGCAGCACGGGGGCAACCCUGGUGGCGAGUGGCGAACGGGUGAGUAAUACAUAGGAACGUAUCCUGAAAUGGGGGAUAGCUCGGCGAAAGCCGGAUUAAUACCGCAUACGAUCCACGGAUGAAAGCAGGGGAUUCGCAAGAACCUUGCGUUUCUGGAGCGGCCUAUGUCUGAUUAGCUAGUUGGCGGGGUAAUAGCCCACCAAGGCGACGAUCAGUAGCUGGUCUGAGAGGAUGAUCAGCCACACUGGGACUGAGACACGG